GACGAACGCUGGCGGCGUGCUUAACACAUGCAAGUCGAGCGCUGAAGCUUCCUUCGGGGGUGGAUGAGCGGCGAACGGGUGAGUAACACGUGGGUGACCUGCCCUCAGCUACUGGGAUAAAGCCUGGGAAACUGGGUCUAAUACCGGAUAGGACCUUCUGUUGCAAUGACAGUGGGUGGUAAAGUUUUUUCGGCGUGGGGA
rnacentral:rRNA from 1 species